UACGGAGGGUGCAAGCAUUGAUCGGAAUUACUGGGCGUAAAGGGCGCGUAGGCGGUUUUAAAAGUCAGAUGUGAAAUUCCAGGGCUCAACCAUGGAGCUGCAUUUGAGACUCUAGAACUAGAGUUCAGUUAGGGAAAACGGAAUUCCACGUGUAGCGGUGAAAUGCGUAGAUAUGUGGAAGAACACCGGUGGUGAAGACGGUUUUCUGGGCUGACACUGACGCUGAGGCGCGAAAGCAAGGGGAGCAAACAGG
rnacentral:rRNA from 1 species